rnacentral:rRNA from 1 species
AUUGAACGCUGGCGGCAUGCCUUACACAUGCAAGUCGAACGGCAGCAUGAUCUAGCUUGCCAGAUUGAUGGCGCGUGUCGAACGGGUGAGUAAUACAUCGGAACGUGCCCUGUAGUGUGGGAUAACUCGUCGAAAGAUUAGCUCAUACCGCAUACGCCCUGUGGGUGUAAGUGCGGGACCGCAAGGCCUCUUGCUAUAUUAGCUGCCGAUGUCUGAUUAGCUAGUUGGUGCGGUAAAGGCUCACCAAGGCGACGAUCAGUAGCUGGUCUGAGAGGAUGAUCAGCCACACUGGGACUGAGACACGGCCCAGACUCCUACGGGAGGCAGCAGUGGGGAAUUUUGGACAAUGGGCGAAAGCCUGAUCCAGCAAUGCCGCGUGUGUGAAGAAGGCCUUCGGGUUGUAAAGCACUUUUGUCCGGAAAGAAAUGGCGCUGGUUAAUACCUGGGGUCGAUGACGGUACCGAAAGAAUAAGGACCGGCUAACUACGUG